ACGCGGGAUAGAGCAGUCUGGUAGCUCGUCGGGCU
rnacentral:tRNA from 1 species